rnacentral:lncRNA from 1 species
CUUUCUCUCUCCCUUACCUCGGGCUCCUUCCCUGCGUCUAUCUCUCCUCAUCUGACUGCCUUUCUUUCCUUUUCUGAUUUAACUCGCCUGUUUCUCUCCCUCCCUCUCUCUCCCCGGCUUCCCCUUCUCAGUCUCUCUUCCACCUUGUAUCUGACUUCCGGGCCCACUUAUUGGUAUCUGGUUGUCUUUCCCCCUGCGUCCGUGUCUGUCUCCCCUUCUCAGCCUGCCUUUGCUCUCCCGUCUCACUCCAGCCUGGUUUCGGCUCUCUGGUCUGUUUCACAGCCUCGCUGUCCCCUCCCCUCUGUCUCUUUCUCCUUCCGGGUCUCGAUCACUUCCCCUUGUUGUUCCCUUAGUCUCUCCGCGUCGCUCACUCCUCCCCAGGCUAUCUCCGUCCCUGCUGGUCGGUUUCUCUUCUGCCCUCCUCUGCCUUUCUCUCCUCUCCAGGCGGUCUCGCGUUCCCCGACCGUCUCUCUUUGUGCCAGUCUCUCCGUCCCCUCGGGUCGUGGGCUCUGUGUGCGUGCACGUGUGCGUUCAUGUGUGCUGUGUGCGUGCACGUGUGCGUUCAUGUGUGCUGUGUGCGUACACGUGUGGUAUGUGCGUAAGUGUAUGUUGUCGAACAGGGAGCUCAGCCCCGCUCGGGACAGAUCCACUCCCCCAAGCUCUCCUGCCUCCAGGGCGGGGCCCAGGGGAGUCCGAAAGGACCGGAUCCUGGUCGCCAUAGAGACGUCAAGCUUCCUCCCCUCCCCCGCCUCUGGCCCGUCUGAUAGGUUGCAGGACGGGCUUUGGACCCCUGUGUUUUCGGCUUCUUUACGCCUGCGCAGUCUACACCGCCAAGCGCAGGUGGGCGGGGUCGGGAGGGGUCCCCUUUCCGCCUGUCCUAACGAGAAUAACACUUCUCCGCAGCUCGCCUCCUCCCUCAAAGCUUAUAGAUGGCCCCGGGAGGAGGGGCCUGCACCGACCGGGGAGGCUAGUCAAUCUGGUAGUCGCGCGACUGUGGCCUUUAAAUGA